rnacentral:misc_RNA from 1 species
CAGUGUCGAAUCGGACGUCACUGGCACCUGUCACGUCUGACAUUAUUGUCGAGAAUUCGUAUUCGGAGCCUUUCGAGUUUCGCGUUCAUAGUUCGUAAACGCUCGCGAAUGUUGUAGGUGGAGCUCAUAUUUUUUAGUUUUUGCGCUCUCGUUCCACUUUUCGAAAGUAUCUUUUUAUCAUUUCAAAAUUCAAUGCUGUGUGGUGUGAUUACCUUGAUAUUCGUUUUCUAAAGUGAUGUGUGAAAGCUGUAUAGAAUUCGUAUUGUGAAUAUGAUGUCACUUUUAUUCUGCGUGAUACCUUGAAAACAUGAGUGUUAGUGUUGAGGGGGACGUGUCGAGUCCCCUGUCGGACGGGCAGGACGCAACCAUCUCCAAGUCGUCGUCGGAUAGCUUGAAGAUCGACGAAGAGCCAGUUCGCGAUGACAAAUCCGAGCCCAGCACUCCGAAACCGCAUCCGAUGGCGUUUACCAUCGACUUCGGCGCGGCCAAGCCUGUGGACACUCGGAAACUUGAGGAGCUAGCGAAGAAGUCGCAGGCUCGCCACCAGAGAGUCCAGUCGAUGUCUGCGAGCCUCCACAGACCCAGUCCGACCCUGCAGCGGCCUCCGAUGAGCGCGAAGCUCCCCCGCAAAGCUCAAGGGUACAACUCGGAAGGCUACUUCUCCUCAGACCAGGAAGAUAGCGGCCUAUCAGGCUCAGUCAAGCUCCGGAACAGUCCAUUAGCACAAAACGCUUCGCACAUAACAAGUCCUGUUACAAAUAGACAUAGUAAGUCCCCUGUCACUGACAAUGUCCUGCCAAAACGCACGUCCAAGAGUCCUAUAGUUGAUAGUAUAAUGUCUAGGAGUGAUAACUUUACCUCUCGUCAGGGCCUGAACUUGCCACUAAAGAGUACUUCAUACGUGAGAGAGGUGCAUAGAACACCUAGCUAUGGGAACAUAAAUAGGCAUGCUAUGGCUGAUAUCAUUGACCAGAGCCCUGAGGGAGUGAUGCUGACAGACAUAUCCAGUCCUGAAUUAGAUAUCCUUACACCUGAUAAUGGGUUGUCCACUCCAGAACACUCUAAAAGCCCUUUGAUUCGCAAAAGUAGAGCUUCCUCUGAGACCCCUGACUUGUUUAAGAAGUGUAUUGCAAAAGAACCGCUGUACAUUGAUGAUGAUGUGGAUGCUCAAUCUGAUAACUCCUCAACUGGUACCUAUACAAUAGAAGGAGAUAACUAUACUGAGGAACAGAAGGCAAGGAUGAGUAUCGACAGGAGUUUCGGUGCACCUUCCCUAUCAAAUGCUCUUGAUGAAAGCAAGAAAAAAGGCAGUGAAUGUGAUCCUGAGCUUGUCUUUGACUUCCCCAACCCUCAGAGAGUAAUAACUAAAGAACCGAGAAGAGAUAUUGGUCUCCGUAGUCCUUUACUGAACCAAUCAUUUGAAAUACCAAAAGUUUCUAAGGACAAAAACGUCUUAGAAAUCUCAUGUUGUUACGAAUCACCAACUGAGAAUGACUUAGCAGCUCAAACGUCCAAACAAAUUAAAUCUACAAGGAGCUACUUAGAAAAAAUAAAGAAUAGAGUGAGGACUAUUACUGAAAAGACCUUUGCGAAGUCACCUCCUAAACAUGAUGAUGUAGACGUUGGUAGUUUUACAUCGGUCACAACAUCUGGUGUUCUUAGUUCUCGAAUCCCUCCUAAGAUAGAGCCUGUGCUCCGUCGUUGUAGCUUGACUAAAUCUGAGAUAGACCAGACAGACUACAUCCACCGACUGUCCCGUGAAUCUUCAGUCCCAGUAUCCUUACCCAGUAACAAGUUAGGCUUAGAGGAUGCCAAAUUUGAGAGUACCGCAUUGAAGAACGCUCAGAAAGCUUUGAGGGAGGAAUGUGGGGUUUCUUCGGACAUGACACCGGAGCAAGUUGUGGGGAAGCUGUCGUACUUGAGCCUGAACCGCUGCAAAGGGGAUAAGACCUGGAUCCAGGACUGGGCGGAGAGCGUGAAGAAGUAUAACAUCAAUAGUUUGACUAAAGAGGACGUUGUUAUUGAUGAUAGGCCUCCGUUGAGUCCGAGGCAGCUGGCUGUUAAAUGCCGCAGCCCGCAUGCGGGGACGCCCACCAAGAUACCGAGUCCCGUUGGCACGCUCCUAUCUAGGAGAACUCCGGACCUGAUCCCCACGCAAGACACAGAAGCGUACCUCCAAAAAACUCAAAACGCCAUCACAAACUUACAAGCGAAGCUCCAGUCUUCCAGAACAAACAAUUUCAGCAGCAUUCCUUCAGCACUCACCUCUAGUCUCAUCAGCGAGAAGACUGCCAUCUCUCGGCUCCCGAUCUCACAGCUGAGCCGGUCCAACUCACUGAAUUACCGUCUGAGAAGAAAAGACCACUCAAAUGACAGCAGUCCACUAAGAAGUCCCGGCCACUACGUCAUCACUGGGUCCACGAAAGUUCCCGAUAGUACGAAAAUUCUACUAAAUUCCGCAUCACGGUCCUUAGAUACAGACAGGAGGCAUGAUAUGAACAUGAAUAGUCCGUCCUCAGAUAGAGGUUUACUAAGCAAUAGUUCAGAUGACAAAACACUGUCGAAUAGACCUCCUUAUGACGUAGACGCGAUCUUAUCACCUCACAGGAAAACGCACACGCGGAACAGGGCUUUCGAAAGCCAAGCCAAUGAUGUUAGCAACGCUAACUCCACUGUUUGCCUCAAGACUGUCCUGAAAAACAACGCCUUAGAAUCCAAGUACCCCCGUAUCGAACAAACUCGUUGCCAAGGAGACAAGAAAAGCCACCAGAGAGUAUUAAGCGACGGACUCAAAUAUAAAUCGAAUAACAUCGGUUUCGGUUCAUCGAUUAAAAGAUCCAGUUCCUUCAACACUGUCAAUAAGAAUAACAAUUAUAUCGAUCCUAGAAUCACUUCGAGAAGAUCGAGUGGUCAUUCUGAAGAGUACAAGGAUUAUUCGGAUGAAUCUGAUAACGGGUCUUAUGAUAAAUCCCAAGAUUGUAGGUACAAGAGGCAGAUCAUAAACAGAGGGAGAAUCGAUUCCCCAGAUUUGAAGUCCAUAGCGCCAGCUAACUCGCCAAGAAGAUGUCCGAAUACUCCUGAAAUGCAUCGGAAAUUUGGGCCAGGAUUGGUCAGGAAUUCCGUUAGAGUGACGAAUAAGGAGCGUUUGAGUCCGAGGGUUUCUGAGCAGCCAAUCGUGAGGGAGGAGAGAGUGAAGCCGACCAAUCACCAGAGUCGGCGAUCAGCUGAGCCGAGACAGACCACGAUAAACAGGCUGACCAAAUCUAGGUCUUCGACGCGGGAAGUGCAGCCUAAACAUCUAGAUAAAGGUCAGAAGAAGCCAAGUCAGCACCGUUCUUCAUCAGCUCUAGCGUCCAAGGAGAUCGAGUUCUCUAACUGGAAGAAGCGAGCGUCAUACGACCCCAUGAAGGCAGCGCAAGAAGAUAAGAGAAGAAAGCAGUUAGCUAAGCGACAGGAUUGUAAUAAGGAUGAUCUUAGUUCGCCUAGCCACUCUUCACCCGUCCACCGCUCCCAAUCGUUCCACACCACGAACAUAGCUGAUCUCGAGACCCUGGACUACUCCUCAGAAGAGACGGAGGAUGACCAGCUCCUCGUCACGCUGCCGGUAGACCCCAUGAUCACGUCCACGCAUUCCGACAUACUGGAUCUCAGGCCUAAAGACUAUAGCAAUCUCAGGAGGCAGGCCAUGACCAAUGAUGUGGUGUUCUCUAGGGAUUACGUCACUAAUUUCCAGAUAAACCAAUCUUCCCACGCCGAAAAGAAACGUCGCGACGCUCGCGAAGCGGAAAAAAGAAAAACAUUCAUCAUAGACGACAUAACGCCUACCAAAGAGAAUAUAGACUUUUUAACAAAGACAAGAGAGGACGCCAUAGCGGAUAAACGUAAAACCUUCAUACUUGAUAGUGAUACUAAUUCUACUACAAAUGGCAGCAGUCCUCGAAACUCUUCGAUAUUUAGUCAUGAGAAGAAUUCUCUUACGACUGGUACGAGUGACACAGAGGGCGAGAGUGGUACUGAGAGUGCUCCCGUCGUCAUGCGACAUGCGCAAGGGAAGAGAACUACACCUGCGCAGGCUAAGCAGAGGUACAGCGGUGACUACUCGAUGUCAUCGUCGACGACUUCCAUCAGCCAGCGCAAGGCGGUGCAGCCGCGCUACCUGGACAUCUCCAAGUACAAGAGCGAGGCUUCCAACAAGUUCCUGCGCCGCGACCCCAGCAAGACCUACGUCGGGGUGCUGCCUGACAAGCCCGUCAGUCGGGGCAGUGCACAGCAUUAUGAAAUGGAACAAAAGAAACAAGAAUUAGAGAAGUGGAAACGAAGGGCUUCGUACGACCCGAGAAAGGCGGCUGCACUCGGAAAGUCGACUAAAACGCCGUCAAAAACCGCUAGAGCGUGACAAAUCUCAAAAUGCAUGCAAUUCCGUGUAAGUGACACGCUGGCCGCCAUCUUGACGUGUAAGUAGCGUGCUCCGUUCGCAAUCGUUCCACGGUCCGGUGUCGGCGUACCCGGGGCUUCGCCCCCCGCCGCCCGACCAGAUCUGCGAGGCCUACGACGCCUCUAGCGACAACGAUUUCUAACGACACUGUCGACUUCGACUUGUGAUAACCGCGUUUGGAUAGACUAGUCUUUGUAGUGUUUGUAUUAAUACAAAAAUCAUUAAAGCCAGAUGUUAACGUUCCCUAAAUACCCCUUAAAUGUAUUUAAAAGGCUUUAAAAGGCCAAUAUUUUUGUCCAAUCAAUUUUUGACGGCGAAAAAAAUAUAUAUUAAUCUUGAACACAUUUCCGAAAAAUUGUAAACAAAACUUUUUCUUACGUUUUAUUGUUUUGGCUGUUGUCAGCGUCUUAAAAUAUCUUUGUGACUAAAACAUUUAGGGGUACUUAAUUUAGUCAACGUUAAUUCAGGCGUUACUUAUAAAAUUGUAUCGUUAAUGAUUUAAGAAUGAUAUUGUCAAAAUGAUCUCUUAUUUUUGUUGUUAUUUUUAAUGGUUUUUGUAUUUCUACAAAUAAAAGGUACAGCGAAGUGUUCAUACUAAGUGUUAGUGUUAUAUUAGAGUUUGUUGUCGGUAAUAGAAUACGUUUUGUAUUGUCAUCGACACGAAUUUUGGAUAAGACCAAUAGUGUGACGGGUUUGCAUAAUAAUGCUGGAUCCUAAAUUGUUUUAGUCAAGCUAAUAGCGCGGCAAUGUAGCUUCGAACAAGUCUCUGUAUUAUUAUUUUUUUUGUUACUUAUGAAUUUGUUACAAUAUCGUUUUUUGAAAAAUAUUAGAUUCUAGUUUGUUUUCAAAGCAAGAAGUACAUUAAGUUUUUUUUUUGUUUUGUAUAAAGCUUUUUAAGAAUGUUCAGAAAUGAUAUUGUAACAUUUGUCAGGCGUUUCUGUAUUUGGGCGGUGAUUAAAAUAGUUAGAAUAAAUGAAAUGAAAAAAAAUAUAAAAUAGAAAGAAAACGAUAGAUUUAUAAUUGAUUUAUUCGUUUCAAUGCAUUAAUUGUUAAGUGAUUCGAUCAAAAAUAAUUUAUGUAUUCAAUUUUGAUGAUUCAGGUUGAUCAAGUUAAAUAGAUACGUUAUUUAUUUGUUUACUUGUCAAAUUAAUAAGAGGUUUAAAACUGUAAAAUUAAAUAAAAAAAUACAAAUUAUCGUAAUUUUUCCUCCAAAUACAGAACCGUGCCGAUUUUAAAAGCGUGAUUUAUGAAAUUACAUUCAUGAUUUUUAAUAACCUGACGAUUAUUCAGAAAAUAAACAUAGUUUGGGAGCGAUGCAAUCCUUUAAUUAAUAUAUUUUUUUAAGUUAUUCAGCACAAAACGAAAUUCUUUAAAAUCGCUUUAAACGCAUCGCUGUUCAUUUAAGUUAUAUUUUUUAUACCGAACUACUCUAUAUCUUUUUUUUGUAAAAUAUUUUUUUCUCGUAACAUUAAGGAUUAAUUAAGGAAGCAUAUUAAAUAAUAAUUAAAUGUGAUUUAAUUAAUAAUGCCUACAAUAUCUUUAGGAUUGGCUAUUAUUGUUUACCACUAAAAGUGUAUGAGAUUUUUUGUCUGUAAUGUCCAAUUUAGAUGAAUGUAGAUUUCCGCUAACUUUAUCAUAUUAUUAUUAUGAAAUAUCCUUUUAUAUUGCUCAUAUCAUUCAUACAUCGAUGUAUUUUAGAAAUAUUUAACCUUUUUAGUUUUAGUUUUUUUUUGUAUAGUGCAAUACCACAUCACAAUUAAAACUUUCUUAAAAUACGAACAAAUUGUUUCUUUUAUAUUUUUUUUGUAUUUUUUGAGUAUUCACAUGUAUUAUUGGUUAUAUAGGUACUCGAUAUUUCAGAAGAAAUUGUUAUUUUUGUGUGUUUUUUUUUUCACAGCAUAGCAGAAUAGUUGAGCACUGUAUUUUUUGCGAAUUUUUCAUAGACGCUGUGGAAAUUACGAGAGAAAUAAAACCUAAGAAUUGCGCGUAUUUUAGUUAUUUCUGCCAGGCUGCACCUAUUGACGCUUACGCGAUAUUUUAUGUAACUUUAUAAAUAGUAAUAAAAUAACUCUUUACUUCAAAAUAUUAUUCCGAUUUUCAAAUCAAUGUUUUUUUUAACUAAUAGUAGAUAAAAUAAAAUUCCCAAUUAUUCCACUACGUUUAUAAAUUGCAGUAAAAAGUACUUAUUUUUGUAUUUAUUUUAAUGGCUUAAUAUUUUGACGUAAAGAGCCUGCAAAUCUAAAUCAUAACUCAAAAAGUCUGCUAAUUGUUUCAAAAAUAAACUGUAAGAUUUAUUUACAAUGUUGCCACAUUAACAAACUGAUAAAAAAACUCAUAAAAAACUGAUGACACCGAUUUUUUUUUGUGGUGGCAUAGUGAAUUUAUUAUCUCAAUUUUGAGUAGUGACUAACUAUAAUACUAGUAGUAAGCCUGGCUUUAUUUCGAAAAAAACGCAAACUGUACCAUAAUCGCUGCAAGCGGAAUAUUUGUAAACAUAAUUGAUGUUUAGAGUUUUGUAAAAAUAUUAUUUAAAUAGGAAACAAAUAAAAAGAACGUUUAAAAUUAAA